CAGAGUUCGUGCCCUCACGGGUAGAUCUCCCACCCUGUGUUAUUAUACCUUUGUUGCUUUGGCGGGCCGCCCUCGGCUACCGGCCCCGGCUGGUACGCGCCCGCCAGAGGACCCAAAACCCUGAAUUAUUAGUGUCGUCUGAGUACUAUAUAAUAGUUA
rnacentral:misc_RNA from 1 species